CACGGCUUCAAUUUUUGAAUUGCAGAAUAAUUAGAUGCACUAUCUAGUGUAUAUAAGAUAUCUAUGGUUUUUACGUGUGCAGUUUGAAACGUAUAGUUACAUGCAGAGCAUAAAAUAGUUUAUAAACAGGAAAUAAGGACAGUCAUGAACUAUAUAGAAAAUUGGAUUUCUAUUUUGUUAGGUCCUUUACUUUCAAAUUAUAGCUUAAUGUCAGCUGUUUGUUUCGAUCGGUACAAACAUUUUAGUAUAAAAUGCAUGAUCCAUAUUAUUUAUUUGGGAAACUUUACAGGACAAUUUGCACUUUAACAAAUUAUAACUAUCUUAGAAUUAAAAUAAUUUUACAAAAUUAGAUUUUACAUGAAAUAAAGAUGUUCAAUUUAAUAUUUUACGAAAUGUUUGCAAAUAUAUUCUAGGAC